rnacentral:lncRNA from 1 species
CUUGCCUUGCCCCUGCACGUAUCUACCCCGGUGGGUGAUACUAUUAUUGUAGAUCAUGUCUAUCGAUCCUGUUUGGUCACUAUAGGGGGUCUGGAGACCCGCAUUGAUUUAUUAUUAUUGGGCAUGGUGGAUUUCAAUGUAAUUCUGGGUAUGGAUUGUCUAUCUCCGCACCACGCUAUUCUGGACUGUCAUGUUAAGGCAGUUACACUAGCUAUUCCGGGUAUUCUGAGGAUCAAGUGGCGAGGCGUGACUGAUUAUGUACCUAGCAGAGUGAUUUCUUUCUUAAAAGCCCACCGGAUGGUUGGCUAGGGGUGUUUAUCAUAUUUGGCUUUCGUG